UGGAACAUUAACCGAGAUUUUCUUCAAAUGUAGAGGAGACUGUAACUGACUUUUUGGCUUUUAAGCCCUGGAGGCCUGGUGCAAGCACUCUGUAAGGUCAGAAGUGGCAGGUGGGGUUGUGGCAAGUGGGUGGGAUGUACUUUUCUCUACUUAUCAGAUGGUAAGUGCAGAGAGCUUUAUGCAGAAUAAGAGGCCUUUAAGAAUGCAGAUUUACUCUUGAGGACCUGUGUACCUCCUGCUUAAACCCACCGCGGACAUCAAGCAAAUUCAUGGGCGCACACACGUUCCCUUAACAUCUGUUGUGUGACUGCUUUCUGCUGGUACGUUACUUCACAAGCCCCUCAAAUGGCUGUGAUGCAAAUGUGGAAUUUUUUUUGGUAGUUGAGGAAUGGGGGAUCGAGGCUCCA
rnacentral:lncRNA from 1 species